rnacentral:rRNA from 1 species
UCCUGGCUCAGGAUGAACGCUGGCGGCGUGCCUAACACAUGCAAGUCGAGCGGAGAUACGCCGAGAUUCAAUCGAUGAUCGGCAUAUCUUAGCGGCGGAUGGGUGAGUAACACGUGGGUAACCUGCCCUGCACAGGGGGAUAACAGCUGGAAACGGCUGUUAAUACCGCAUAUGCACACGCUGCCGCAUGGCAGGGGGUGGAAAGAUUUUUAUCGGUGCAGGAUGGGCCCGCGUCGGAUUAACUGGUUGGCAGGGUAACGGCCUACCAAGGUGAUGAUCCGUAGCCGACCUGAGAGGGUGACCGGCCACAUUGGGACUGAGACACGGCCCAAACUCCUACGGGAGGCAGCAGUGGGGGAUAUUGCACAAUGGGCGCAAGCCUGAAUGCAGCGACGCCGCGUGAAGGAAGAAGUAUUUCGGUAUGUAAACUUCUAUCAGCGGGGAAGAAGAUGACGGUACCCGACUAAGAAGCCCCGGCUAACUACGUGCCAGCAGCCGC